UAUUUUAACUGUGCAAAGGUAGCAUAAUAAUUAGUUUCUUGAAUAGAGAAUGGAAUGAAUGGUUUGACAAGAGAGUUACUGUCUCUUUUCUAUGAUUAUUGAAUUUUAUCUUUAAGUGAAAAAGCUUAAAUGGUUGUGAAAGACGAGAAGACCCUAUAGAUUUUUAUAAUUUUAGUAUAAUAUAAGUUUAGAAUUUUUUUAUAUUAAAAGUUAUUUGGUUGGGGUGAUGGGGAGAUAAAUAAAAUUCUUCUAGGAGUUAAUUGAAUAUUUUUAAUUUUUUUUAUCUGUAUUUUAUAAAUUUAAAACAAAUUACCUUAGGGAUAACAGCGUAAUUUUUCUUUAAAGUUCUUAUUGAAGGAAAAGUUUGCGACCUCGAUGUUGGAUUAAAAUUAAUUCUUGGUGCAAUAACUUAGAAAUUAGGUCUGUUCGACCUUUAAAAUUUUACAUGAUCUGAGUUUAGACCGGUGUGAGCCAGGUUGGAUUCUAUCUUUAUAUUGAAAUAUGUAUAUUAGUACGAAAGGACCAUAUAUGAAUUAGAUUAAUUGU
rnacentral:rRNA from 1 species